rnacentral:rRNA from 1 species
UCCUGUUGAUCCUGCAGGAGGCUGCUGCUAUUAGGGUUCGACUAAGCCAUGCAAGUCUAGGGGCUCUUCGGAGCACCGGCGAAAUGCUCAGUAACACGUUGAUAAUCUGCCUUUUGGUCUAGGACAGCCUUGGGAAACUGAGGGUAAACCUGGAUAUAAGAUUUAUUCUGGAAUGAUUUUUCUUUCAAAAGCAAUGCCAAAAGAUGAGUCAGCGGCGGAUUAGGUUGUUGGCGGUGUAAUGGACCACCAAGCCUAUGAUCCGUACGGGCCUUGAGAGAGGUAGCCCGGAGAAGGAUACUGAGAAACUGAUCCUAGCCCUACGGGGUGCAGCAGGCGCGAAACCUUUACAAUGCACGAAAGUGUGAUAAGGGAACCCUAAGUGCUUAUGCAAUGCAUAGGCUUUUGUCAAGAGUAAAUAUCUUGAAGAAUAAGUGGUGGGAAAGACUGGUGCCAGCCGCCGCGGUAACACCAGCGCCACAAGUGGGAGCCAUUUUUAUUGGGCCUAAAGCGUCCGUAGCAGGUUUUGUAAAUCUCUUGUGAAAUCAUCCAGCUUAACUGGAUGGCGUGCAGGAGACACUGCAGAACUAGGGACCGGGAGGAGUCAGAAGUAUUCUGGGGGGAGCGGUAAAAUGUGAUAAUCCUCAGAGGACUACCAGUGGCGAAGGCGUCUGACUAGAACGGGUCCGACUGUGAGGGACGAAAGCUAGGGGAGCAAACCGGAUUAGAUACCCGAGUAGUCCUAGCCGUAAACGCUGUGAGCUAGGCGUUGCGUAUUCCACGUGAAUGCGCAGUGUCGUAGUGAAGACGUUAAGCUCACCGCCUGGGAAGUAUGGUCGCAAGGCUGAAACUUAAAGGAAUUGGCGGGGGAGCACUACAAGGGGUGCGGCGUGCGGUUUAAUCUAACUCAACGCAGAGAAUCUCACCAGGGGCGACGGCAGGAUGAAGGUCGGGUUAACGACUCUACCGGACGAGCCGAGAGGUAGUGCAUGGCCGCCGUCAGCUCGUGCUGCAAGGUGUCCUGUUAAGUCAGGUAACGAGCGAGACCUGUACCUAUAAUUACUAACGGCAAAUUCUUUGGACCGAGCACAUUAUGGGGACUGCCUUGGAAACAAGGAGGAAGGCGCAGGCUACGGUAGGUCUGUAUGCUCCGAAUCCACUGGGCUACACGCGCGCAACAAUGGUAAGGACAAUGGGAUACGACUCCGAAAGGAGAAGUUAAACCUCGAAACCUUACCUUAGUACAGAUUGAGGAUUGUAACCCAUCCUCAUGACGAUGGAAUCCCUAGUAAUCGGAAGUCAACAUCUUCCGGUGAAUAUGUCCCUGCUCCUUGUACACACCGCCCGUCAAACCACUCGAACAGGGUCUAGGUGAGCAUUACCCUUUUAGGUAACUCGAACCUGGGCUCAGUGAGAUGGGUUAAGUCGUCACAAGGUA